CAAGUGAGCUUUAAGGCCUUGCCCUUUAUGAGGCCCAGGCCUAUCUAUUUCUUCACAUGGAGUAAAUCAUAAGGGAGGUGUAAGCCUCCUUAUGGUAGGCACCUUGUGACUUCCAUUACCUAGCUGGCCUGGGAGGAGAGCUGACUUGAAGAGCAGCUUUUGCUUGGAAAUGGAAUUGUGAGGUGGCAGAGUUGACAUUCAAUCCCAGAAUUUUCAUUAUACACAUACCUGGAUGUGAAGAGAGCUUUGGGCAAAAGAGUAAGGAAAGAAGAUACAGAGAAGUAAAUUCAUGCUCUACUUGACAUAACUUGAUUCAGUGUGAAUUUCUUUUUCCAGGAACACCAGAAAUUAUAGGUAUUAGUAGUGGAGUCCUAUGUCUGUGUUAAUAUAUAUCUUUGAAUGUUCUUCUAAACACUCUUGUUUUCUAAUUACUAUGAAAACUCUAUUCAAGAAUCAUUUAUUGAACUUAACAUCAUUUUAUUUUGUUUUGUUUUUUGCUUUAAUGCAUACAUUGUAGGCCAGUAACUGAAAUCAGUCUGACUGAAACUUACUAACAACAUAUUACUUUCUUGCAAAAGACCAGACAGUUGAUAUGACAUGUUCUAACCACAGAAAAGAUAUCUGUGUCAGGAAUGAUAUUUUAAAUGGCUAGAUUUAGUUGCUUUACAAGACAUACAUAUUUCAAAGCAAAAUGUUGCUUAUGAUAAAUACACAAGUUUUUCUGCCAAUUUAAUUUAGAAAAACAAAAAAGGAAACAGAAAUAAUUAGAUACAUAAGCAUAUUAUCAAAGUGCUCAGUUGACAGAAGGUAGAAGGCAGGAUAAAACUAUAUAUCUUAAGUUUCUUCUACAUGCUGAGCAAAUUUUUAUAUUUUAUAGUAUUUUAAUAUAUGAAAUAUGACUAUUUUCUCAUUUUAUGUAAAUGAGAGAGCUGAGUCCCAAUUGUCUGUUAACUGGCCUGAAAUAUUGGUUAGUUAUGGGUUGUCUACUUAAAUUAGUGCUUUUAAAGACUCCAUUUUCUAUAAAUAUGCUGCAUAUUUCCAUGAUAUGGUCAUUGCACAAAUAUAGUAUGGGUUGAUUAAAACAGAGGGGGGUUGGCGCCAUGGCUCACUUGGUUAAUCCUCCACCUCAGUGCCAGUAUCCCAUAUGGGCACUGGGUUCUAGUUCCGGUUGCUCCUCUUCCAGUCCAGCUAUCUGCUGUGGCCCAGGAGGGCAGUGAAGGAUGGUCCAGGUGGUUGGGCCCCUGCACCCACAUGGGAGACCAGGAAGGAGCACCUGGCUCCUGGCUUUGGAUUGGCGCAGUGCUGGCCAUAGUGGCCAUUUGGGGAGUGAACCAACGGAAGGAAGACCUUUCUCUCUGUCUCUCCCUCUCACUGUCUAAAACUCUAUCUGUCAAAUAAAUUUAAAAAAAUAAAAUAAAAAACAUAGAGGAAAAAAUAAAAAAUAAUUAAAAUAUCCAUAGUGUAGUCUCAAGUAAAUGACAGAAACAAAGCAAACAAAGAAGAGACAGGCAUUUCUGAAAAAGGACUCUGCUAGCUACAAAUCUGAACCAGAAGAACAUGUGAAAUAACGAGAAAUCGGAAUACACUUGUGACUCUAAGUGAGAAAACCACUCUGUUUAAUCAAUAGAUUGGCUUUCCAAAGUAACUGCAUUCUCUCCAUUCCCUUUCUGGAUACUGAGAUUCCUUAUGCCUGUUCUGCUUUUGACAAUGCCAUUUGGCACAAGGGAUAGCAGUUACGGCUGAAGAACUGUUGGAAGGGAGAUCAAUUGGGAAAAUGUUGUAGAAACCCCAGGUUAGUAGGUCUGACAUAUCUGAAAAUGACAAAUGAAGGAAGAAUCUGAGACACAGAACGGAAAUAGCCAGACGUUAAUCAGUGAAAUUUGAAAAGUAGAACCAAUAAAAUUGUAUUUAUGACAAUUGCCUUUGAGAUAGCAAGUGCUUAGCAAAUAAUCAUUUUUAUUCUCAUCAAUAUUAGUAACACUAGUAGCAGGAAAAAAUUAGAGAAAAUUUAAACUUAAUGUAAUACAGAGAUAUGAUACAAUUACUUGUGAGCAGAUCCUUAAUCUAUAUUGGUUUUUGUAUGUAGUGAAACUUGAUAUUUUAUACUUUUGGUAUAAUUUUGGUACUAUAUAUUCUUAACUAAUUUUCAUAACAUUUCUCUGAGAUAGGAUGUAGAGUUGCUCCCAACAUGUUGGAAAGAGAGUGGAGUCUGGGUUGAUUAAGGCAUAACUAAAAAGUAAUAAAGAGAAAAAAAUAAAAAUACCCAGAGCAUAGUCUCAAGUAGAUGAGGAAAGCCAAGCGAAAAGGAGAGACAGCUAUAUCAGGGAAAGGGCCCUUUGGAAACGGGGUAACUCUCCAGAUAUCCACAACCAAGUAUUCUGGGUACAAUUCCAGGGCCCACAUGAGUCUCUUCCCUGUUCUAAUCCUUCAGGGACAGAACACACAGUAGGUGUUAGAACAGCUGACCCCAAAGGGUGACCAAAGAGUAGUUGUUUGCCAGACGGUGUAGGUGGGAAGGUAAGGCCAUGCGGGUAGACAGUGGGAGGAUAGAUAGACCUUAGACAUAUAGGCUAAUAUACUUGCAUGCAUGAUUUGAGGCCCCUCUAGCUGCCAUGAGUGGAAAGCAAAGGAGAAAUUUAGAGUCCCAGGUUCUAGGACUGAUAUUUGGUGCCUAGAUCUAGUCUAUUUCUUGAAAUUUCUUAGACUGCUGAGAAUUCUACAUAUGAACCUUGGAACCAGUUGAUUAUAGAUGUAAUUUCCAAGGUACAUGUAGAAAGGAGUCUUCCUUUCCAGUUUCCAAUAGAUGUAAUUGCCAAUAGAUGUAAAUUCCACGGUACAAAGUCUGAAAGGAGGAAGACCAGGAUUUUAAAGUGAUAUUUCUUUAGAAAUCAAUUUUUUGGCUAUGAUUUUAAUUUUAAUAAUAUAAAGAGAACAGAUUUCAUGUAUUUCAUAGAAUUCUAGAUAACCAUACUUCUCUCCCUCAAUCCCCCUUUUGAUUUCCUUUCUUUUUCCCUUUAAUUUUGGUAAUAAUGUACUUUCAAUUUAUAAUCACAGACUUAAUACACUGCUAUCAUAUUCAACAAGUAAAAACUAGAAAGACCAUUGAUCCUCAGUAAUAUAGACAAGGGGUAUAAAGAACAAACAAAUGAUAAGACAUUAGUUUCAUUGUUUUUUGCUUUGUAUUCUACAUUAAAUACCACAUAUUAGAGAAAACAUAUGAUAUUUGUCUUUUUGGGACUGGGUUAUUUGACUAAGAAUAAUGACUCAUAGUUGCAUCCACUUUUUUGCAAAACACAGAAUUUUAUUCUUUUUACGGCUAAGUAGUAGUCCACGUGUAUAUAUAGUACAUUCUCUUUAUCCAGUCAUCUGUUGAUGGACAUCCAGGUUGAUUCAUUACUCAUUAUCCUACCUAUUAUGAAUUGAGCUGCUAUAAACAUGGGGUACAAAUAAGCCUUUCAUAUGCUGAUUUCAUUUAAGAAAUACAAAUGGCCAACAGACAUUUAAAAAAAUGCUUAGGAUCACUACUCAUCAGGGAAAUGCAAAUAAAGAAUAAAGGCAAGACCUUUGUAUAGAACUGUCUGUUGGAAGAUACCUACAUGAAGUGUUAUCUCAUGAAAGCUUCUCUGGACAUGGAGCUUCUUCCUUAAUUUAGUAUCAUGGUAUCAAGACACGACUUCUAUAGAAGGAAGUAAAAUUCCUAACCUACUAAACCUACUAUCUGUGCUCUUUCCCCUCACUCUCACUAUAUAUUCAACAUUCUUUUCAUUUCUUUAAUUUUCCCUUUUUUAUUUGUUAUCAACUUUCAAAAAAGACAGACUUAUUUUCUUAUUAAUUAAAAUCCAGUGCCUUGUCAGAAUUAUGCCAUGUAGGCUAAGUGUCUAUGAUAUUAACAAUGAGCAGCAUCUUUUACAACAAAAAUAAUUGGAAACCAUCGAUUUAAAAAAAGUAAUGAGUAAUAAAAUUUUAUUUGCAACAAAAUUAUUGCAACAUAAUGUAUUUUUCUCACAUGACAAUACUAUCAAGAAUUAAGUAAGAAUGGUUUUAGAGGCAGACAUGCUUCUAGAUAAAUGGUUUUCUCCCAUUUAAUACUUACCAUUCUUGCCAAUCAUUGAACCAGAUCCAUCCAAAUUUCUUUAUCCGUAAAUGUGGGUGAUAAUAUGUGUACCACAGGAAAAGUUUAAAGGUGAUUUACAGUUUUGCUAUUUCACUGGACUUGGAACUUUAAAUUUAUGUAUGUGAUUUUUGUUAAAAAAAAGUGACAGAAAUAAUGUUUUUAAUAAAAAUCAUUAAAAUAAAGGAAUAAAAAGUUUCAUACUCCUUAAGAUGAGAUUCAUACAAGUGAAGAUAAAGUGAAUUGUUUCAGUUUAUUGGACCAAUAAUGCAUGUAAAAUAAAAAAAUUGUGUUAUUAUGGAUCCUAUUAGGUUCCAUUUUUUCAACAUAUGGGCUGAGAGACAAUUGUUACUAUUUUUACAAUAAGUAGUUUAAGAUAGUUAACAAAACUUUUGUUGCAGUAUUCAAUAUGUUGUUUAAAUUCUAAAUUUCUUCAACUAAUUGUUUAUAUCCAUAU